rnacentral:rRNA from 1 species
AGUGAACGCUGGCGGUAGGCCUAACACAUGCAAGUCGAACGGCAGCACAGUAAGAGCUUGCUCUUACGGGUGGCGAGUGGCGGACGGGUGAGGAAUACAUCGGAAUCUACUUUUUCGUGGGGGAUAACGUAGGGAAACUUACGCUAAUACCGCAUACGACCUACGGGGGAAAGCAGGGGAUCUUCGGACCUUGCGCGAUUGAAUGAGCCGAUGUCGGAUUAGCUAGUUGGCGGGGUAAAGGCCAACCAAGGCGACGAUCCGUAGCUGGUCUGAGAGGAUGGUCAGCCACACUGGAACUGAGACACGGUCCAGACUCCUACGGGAGGCAGCAGUGGGGAAUAUUGGACAAUGGGCGCAAGCCUGAUCCAGCCAUACCGCGUGGGUGACGAAGGCCUUCGGGUUGUAAAGCCCUUUUGUUGGGAAAGAAAAGCAGCAGGUUAAUACCCCGCUGUUCUGACGGUACCCAAAGAAUAAGCACCGGCUAACUUCGUG